rnacentral:rRNA from 1 species
UACGUAGGGGGCGAGCGUUGUCCGAAGUUACUGGGCGUAAAGCGCGCGUAGGCGGCCAUCUAAGUUCGGGGUGAAAGGUUCAACGCUCAACGUGAACAGUGCCCUGAAUACUGGCUGGCUUGAGUUCGGGAGGGGGCAGUGGAAUUCCAGGUGUAGCGGUGAGAUGCGUAGAUAUCUGGAGGAACACCGAUGGCGAAGGCAGCUGCCUGGCCCAGAACUGACGCUGAGGUGCGAAAGCGUGGGGAGCGAACGGG